rnacentral:rRNA from 1 species
GAUGAACGCUGGCGGCGUGCUUAACACAUGCAAGUCGAACGGAAAGGCCCUGCUUUUGUGGGGUGCUCGAGUGGCGAACGGGUGAGUAACACGUGAGUAACCUGCCCUUGACUUUGGGAUAACUUCAGGAAACUGGGGCUAAUACCGGAUAGGAGCUCCUGCUGCAUGGUGGGGGUUGGAAAGUUUCGGCGGUUGGGGAUGGACUCGCGGCUUAUCAGCUUGUUGGUGGGGUAGUGGCUUACCAAGGCCUUGACGGGUAGCCGGCCUGAGAGGGUGACCGGCCACAUUGGGACUGAGAUACGGCCCAGACUCCUACGGGAGGCAGCAGUGGGGAAUAUUGCACAAUGGGCGGAAGCCUGAUGCAGCAACGCCGCGUGCGGGAUGACGGCCUUCGGGUUGUAAACCGCUUUCGCCUGUGACGAAGCGUGAGUGACGGUAAUGGGUAAAGAAGCACCGGCUAACUACGUG